ensembl:lncRNA
CAGGAUUCUGUGGGAAGACAUCUGGUAGCUUCUGGAGCAGCUGCAGCAGCCAGGACACAUGAACUACAGUGGAGGUCUUGCUUUUAACUACUGGACCCAACACAAAGCCUCCCUUGCAGGCUUACCAGAGAAUGAAAACGAAAUGGCCACCUCCUGUAACAAGAAACACUUCUAGAAGAGGAAGGAGACAUCAAUACAUUCACAAAACCUUCAACUCGAAAUCUGUCUUGCCAAUAAGUGUGCAGGGAUAAAGGUAAAGCAGAUAUUGAAGGACCAACCAGUCAAUGACUGACACAAAGUGAGAUCUGUCUCAUGUGACAGACACAACCUCUGACGCUACUUAUGGUAUUCUUUCUGAUUUACUUGCAGACAGAAAAGUAGCACACCUGUCUCCAGAGGCUUUACUCAGCAGCUGAAAGCCACAGCCAAUCCUCAGAUGGAGCUCGGGAAGUCUUGUGGAAGAGUGGGGGGAGAGUGACAAGGAAACUGGUUGGGUUAAAACACUACAAGAAGUCCCCUACCGUCAGAUACCUUGGACCAUGGAGUAUGCUAGAGCCUGUGCAACCAACCCCAGAGCCGGGUUAGCUAUCUGCAGUUGGUCUCCAUGUGGGUCAUCUGACAAGUAGAUCCAGGACUGUCUCAGUCUGUGUUGCCUGCCAUUGGAUCUGUUCCCCAUACCCGGACUGCCUGAUUGUAAAUCUGUGGGGCAGAAUGUGCUCGGGCUACCUGGGACUAGAUGUCCCGGGGUGGUGUGGUACCCAGGGACUCUCCCCUUGUCCAAAGAGAAGGGAGAGCAUUAUGGUAGAAAGGAUUUGUAAGGUGGGACUGGGAAGGGAAGAGGGAGAGUGACUGGGAUCUGGAUGUAACCUGAAUAAAGAAGACAUUAUUGGAAG